rnacentral:rRNA from 1 species
UACGAAGGGGGCUAGCGUUGCUCGGAAUCACUGGGCGUAAAGCGCACGUAGGCGGCUUUCUAAGUCAGGGGUGAAAUCCUGGAGCUCAACUCCAGAACUGCCUUUGAUACUGGGGAGCUCGAGUCCGGAAGAGGUGAGUGGAACUCCGAGUGUAGAGGUGAAAUUCGUAGAUAUUCGGAAGAACACCAGUGGCGAAGGCGGCUCACUGGUCCGGUACUGACGCUGAGGUGCGAAAGCGUGGGGAGCAAACAGGG